CUGUCACCCGGCAAUGGACUCUGCCAGGUGCAGCCUUCACGGCGAACCGAACCGCCCCUUGGGCUGAUGAUUCCUACCUCGCC
rnacentral:ncRNA from 2 species